GACGGGACGUUGUCGGAAAUACCGGAUCGCGUUGCGUUCAAUGUAAUUUGAUAAACGCAAUCCAUCGAAUCUAAUUCCAAUCGAACAAGGAGUACAGAUACACAAGUCUAGGUUUAUAAUUCACAUGAUUUGCUAAAAGCUAAUCUCAACCAAUUUCAGCUUCUGAGUACAUUCUCAAGACAAGCCAAAUGCACAGGAAAUAUUAUAGUGUGAGCUAGCACAGGUGCGCAAUCUAUUCACUUACUUUCAUAAUCCGAUGGGACGGCAAAUGCAACACGACCGGAAGAAGUUUAGAAGCAGGACCAACGGCUUUACGUGCUUUCCGAAGCACGAGUGUACACAAUUCCAAUUUAGAGACUCAAGGCUGCUACUGAGAAGAUUGUACAUAAUUGUGUAUAUAACGCAUUUUUAACACAUAGAAUAAAUUGUCACGAAAUUUCA